UACGAAGGGGGCUAGCGUUGUUCGGAAUUACUGGGCGUAAAGCGCACGUAGGCGGAUUGUUAAGUUAGGGGUGAAAUCCCAGGGCUCAACCCUGGAACUGCCUUUAAUACUGGCAAUCUCGAGUCCGAGAGAGGUGAGUGGAAUUCCGAGUGUAGAGGUGAAAUUCGUAGAUAUUCGGAGGAACACCAGUGGCGAAGGCGGCUCACUGGCUCGGUACUGACGCUGAGGUGCGAAAGCGUGGGGAGCAAAC
rnacentral:rRNA from 1 species